rnacentral:rRNA from 1 species
UACGGGGGGAGCAAGCGUUGUUCGGAUUUACUGGGCGUAAAGGGCGCGUAGGCGGCCACCGCAAGUCAGUUGUGAAAUCUCUGGGCUUAACCCAGAAAGGUCAACUGAUACUGCGGGGCUAGAGUGCAGAAGGGGCAACUGGAAUUCUCGGUGUAGCGGUGAAAUGCGUAGAUAUCGAGAGGAACACCGUGGCGGCAAAGGGCGGGUUACCUGG